GACGGAGGGGGCUAGCGUUGUUCGGAAUCACUGGGCGUAAAGCGCGCGUAGGCGGCUUAUCAAGUUGGGCGUGAAAGCCCGGGGCUCAACCCCGGAAAUGCGCCCAAAACUGGUUGGCUUGAGACCGAGAGAGGGUGGUGGAAUUCCCAGUGUAGAGGUGAAAUUCGUAGAUAUUGGGAAGAACACCAGUGGCGAAGGCGGCCACCUGGCCCGGAUCUGACGCUGAGGCGCGAAAGGGUGGGGAGCAAACAGG
rnacentral:rRNA from 1 species